rnacentral:rRNA from 1 species
UACAGAGGUCUCAAGCGUUGUUCGGAUUCAUUGGGCGUAAAGGGUGUGUAGGUGGCGUCGUAAGUCGGGUGUGAAAUUUCGGAGCUUAACUCCGAAACUGCAUUCGAUACUGCGGUGCUUGAGGACUGGAGAGGAGACUGGAAUUCAUGGUGUAGCAGUGGAAUGCGUAGAGAUCAUGAGGAAGACCAGUGGCGAAGGCGGGUCUCUGGACAGUUCCUGACACUGAGACACGAAGGCCAGGGGAGCAAACGGG